rnacentral:rRNA from 1 species
GACGAACGCUGGCGGCGUGCUUAACACAUGCAAGUCGAACGGAAAGGCCCCUUUGGGGGUACUCGAGUGGCGAACGGGUGAGUAACACGUGAGUAACCUGCCCUUGACUUCGGGAUAACUUCAGGAAACUGGGGCUAAUACCGGAUAGGAAUCCUUGCUGCAUGGUGGGGGUUGGAAAGCUUCGGCGGUUUUGGAUGGACUCGCGGCUUAUCAGCUUGUUGGUGGGGUAGUGGCUUACCAAGGCUUUGACGGGUAGCCGGCCUGAGAGGGCGACCGGCCACAGUGGGACUGAGAUACGGCCCAGACUCCUACGGGAGGCAGCAGUGGGGAAUAUUGCACAAUGGGCGGAAGCCUGAUGCAGCAACGCCGCGGGCGGGAGGACGGCCUUCGGGUUGUAAACCGCUUUCAGCAGGGGCGAAGCUUGUGGUGACGGUACCUGCAGAAGAAGCACCGGCUAACUACGUG